CCAAUAGCGUAUAUUAAAGUUGUUGCAGUUAAAAAGCUCGUAGUUGAAUUUCGGGAUCAGUACGUUGGUCAUGCCUUCGGUAUGUACUGGUGUCACUGAUUCCUCCCUUCUGAAGAACUGUCAUGUCAUUCACUUGGUGUGGCAGGGAAUCAGGACUGUUACUUUGAAAAAAUUAGAGUGUUUAAAGCAGGCUCGCGCUUGAAUACAUUAGCAUGGAAUAAUGGAAUAGGACGUUGACCCUAUUUUGUUGGUUUCUAGGAUUGACGUAAUGAUUAAUAGGGAUAGUUGGGGGCAUUAGUAUUCAAUUGUCAGAGGUGAAAUUCUUGGAUUUAUUGAAGACUAACUACUGCGAAAGCAUUUGCCAAGGAUGUUUUCAUUAAUCAAGAACGAAAGUUAGGGGAUCGAAGACGAUCAGGUACCGUCGUAGUCUUAACCAUAAACUAUGCCGACUAGGGAUCGGAUGAUGUUAACUUUUUAAUGACUCAUUCGGCGCCUUACG
rnacentral:rRNA from 1 species